rnacentral:misc_RNA from 1 species
UCUCCGUUGGUGAACCAGCGGAGGGAUCAUUAAAGAGUUAUCCAACUCCCAAAACCAUGUGAACUUACCUAUGUUGCCUCGGCGGGGAACCUACCCGGGAGCUACUCUAGAGUAGCCUACCCGGUAGCUACCCUGUAGUUGUGGCCUUACCCGCCGGUGGACCAUCUAAACUCUUUUUUCUCUUUUGGCACUUCUGAAUAAUUAUCAUAAUAAGUUAAAACUUUCAACAACGGAUCUCUUGGUUCUGGCAUCGAUGAAGAACGCAGC